rnacentral:misc_RNA from 1 species
CAAGAAAUCAAACAAAAUUAAAUAAAUCAUAUAGAUAAAAUUAUAAGAAAUCUAACAAUGAAUAUAAAGGGGAUUAGAUCGAAGUAUACCAAGAAGAACACAGUACAUGGAAUCGGACAAGGAGCACAAAUUCCAUCCUUGACCCUGUCAGUAUCUUCCCACAGCUUUAUUGAACCGCAACAAAACAAAAACAAUAAGCCGCUUGGCCUGCCAACCGUGGCAUGCAACAACCACCAAGUUUGUAGUAGAUGCAGUUCAAGAAAGCUGUGGAAGAAUACGAAGAGGGUCAUUCAUAUAUGCAUAAACACGUAUAGGCACAGGAGAUAAAUCUAAAAACCAUACAAGGAAGGCAAAAAAGAAAGCAAGAAAGCAAGAAAGCAAGAUUUUUGUGGGAGUGGGAGUGGAAGUGGGAAGAGAAAAGAGAUGGGC